CACCCGUCGAUACUACCGAUUGAAUGGUUAAGUGAGGCCCUCGGAUCGGCGCCAUUGCAGUGGCAGCCGCAAGGUUGGUGCCUAACAGGUGCCGAGAAGAUGACCAAUCUUGAUCAUUUAGAGGAAGUAAAAAGGUUUGCGUAGGUGAAAAUGCGGAAG
rnacentral:ncRNA from 1 species